rnacentral:lncRNA from 1 species
GGACAAAAUCAGACUUUGUUUAUUAAAAAAAUACUUUACAGGAAAAAAAUUCUAUGCAUUCCGUUGGACUAUUUUACAAAGAAAUAGCUUAACAGUUUGACACUCGUGUACAGUCAGCUACUGACAGAAAUGCACUGCGUUAUUCACAGAGAGGCCCGAGCGCUUGUGGCUGCCCGGCUGUGGUAAAAACCUCUUCGAAACACUUGCUAAUGUCAAUAAAUAUACUAAGGCCGCACAAAGCAAACAGUCUUCCAGGCAAUUGUACACGUCCUCUGUAGGCAGAGACCUUAGAUAAAUUAAAACCACAGAAACAAAAAAUAAAUCUUAGCUGCCAAUCAAAAUCAAAUUAAGAAUCACAAAAACAGCAACACAGAAGUCUCUUUACAUGUUGUACAAAGAAAGCAAAGUGUAUGUGUUUCUCCGAGCCCCGCAGACACCUCCUCAGCCCCCAUGCCAUCGCCCAUGGGUGCUGUGCCAUGGGGGUGUCAUACCAGGUGGGUUUUGGGGAGCAGAACCAAGCCAUCCCCUCCUCUCGCACCCCUUGAGCAGGUUCCAAGCUGCCAACACUUUGCACUCCGUGGAAACUACAAUUCCAGAGCUUAUGACUCGGUUGAGACCUGACAAGAGUAGGCAGGGCCAGAUCAAGGGCUGGAGCUCAUGCCGUGGGAAAGCUCCGACAAUCUGCCUUGUCCAGGGGAACCAAACUGUAACAGGCAGGGAAGGUGAAGAGCACAGUAGAGAGCCCUUUUCUGUAUGGCAAGAUCUACACCUGUGAAAAAUGGUGAUUAUAAAUCCCCUGAGAACACUUCACCGAGUGUCCCAACUUCCUGGAAGAGAACGUGUCAAGGAUCUGCACAAACUGACUUAUGGCAUGUUUAAAGGAGAGAGGAAAGGGAAGCUAACAGAUAUUUCAUCUUUAAACUGCAUUUUGUUAGCCCCCUUCUAGCCCUGCUGAGCCACUCGCCUUUAUCCCAAGUGACAUUUUUCACCAACACCACUUUAUCUCACAGCCUAAGCCUGAGUUCACACAUCAAAGCCAAUGGAUCU